rnacentral:rRNA from 1 species
UACGUAGGGGGCAAGCGUUGUCCGGAUUUAUUGGGCGUAAAGAGCGUGUAGGCGGCCAGACAGGUCCGUUGUGAAAACUGGAGGCUUAACCUUCAGACGUCGAUGGAAACCGUCGGGCUAGAGUCCGGAAGAGGAGAGUGGAAUUCCUGGUGUAGCGGUGAAAUGCGCAGAUAUCAGGAAGAACACCUAUGGCGAAAGCAGCUCUCUGGGACGGUACUGACGCUGAGACGCGAAAGCGUGGGGAGCGAACAGG